rnacentral:rRNA from 1 species
AGAUUGAACGCUGGCGGCAUGCUUUACACAUGCAAGUCGAACGGCAGCACGGGGGCAACCCUGGUGGCGAGUGGCGAACGGGUGAGUAAUAUAUCGGAACGUACCCGGAAAUGGGGGAUAACGUAGCGAAAGUUACGCUAAUACCGCAUAUGCCCUGAGGGGGAAAGCGGGGGAUUCGUAAGAGCCUCGCGUUUUCGGAGCGGCCGAUAUCGGAUUAGCUAGUAGGUGAGGUAAAGGCUCACCUAGGCGACGAUCCGUAGCUGGUCUGAGAGGACGACCAGCCACACUGGAACUGAGACACGGUCCAGACUCCUACGGGAGGCAGCAGUGGGAAUUUGGACAAUGGGCGCAAGCCUGAUCCAGCCAUGCCGCGUGAGUGAAGAAGGCCUUGGGUUGUAAAGUCUCGUUUCAGUACCGGAAAGAAACGACGACGGUUAAUACCCGUAGUACGUGGUACUGACGGUACCGAAGAAGUAAGCACCGGACUAAC